UAUCCUGGGAUGUGCUGCAGCCAGCUCUUAUCUGCUGGAAAGAGCUGAUUGUUAAUUUUCAGGGUGAGCUUUUUAAAACCCUUACCUCCUGGAAAUCAGCAAACAUUGCCAUUUGGGGCUUGAUUUAUUGUCUAGGUUGUCUAAACUUACAAAAAUGAAGGAGAAAAUGUUAGUUAUACAACUUAAACUUAAAAGAGUGUUGAGCAUACAUUUAACAACCCUCGGGUUAAAAUUUUUCCAGCAUACCCUGGCAUCUUGAAAACCUGUGGUUUUACAAUUGCAGUGGGUGAAGUUUCCUGCUGUUUCCAAGGAUCACCUACAGAGGGUGCCUAGAACUCAUGUUCAUAUUGAAGUUGGCCCUAGAACAGCCUUCAACCACCAGGAGGCAUCCCUGAGAUCCUCAGGAGGGGCGUUGCAGCUACUAGCUUUCCCCCUACACCUUUCUAAAACCUAGGAGCUCCAUCACUUACUUCCUCAGUCCUCUCCCCAGCCAAAAGACUAGCAAUAGAAGUUGGAAAAUAAAAUGGCUGGGAACACCAAUUUGGAAGCAAGGAGGAAGGGAAGGGGCUUAGUGGAGACCCUCUUCCACACCCCCCAUCCUAAGAGGAAGAAAAACUUCCAUCCCCCUUUCCCACCGGGGACCUCCUGCCUGGCGUUGCCCAGGAUAUUCUGAGAGAUGGAUUUUAUAGUGAUCCAAAGAGUAGAUCUAAGUUCCUCUCCUCUCCAGUCGAGACUAUUGGGUGUGUUCCCUGGCCCCCUAAACGUUCCAGUGGCUCGAUGUCUGUGGUGAGGAGACCCAGGGCUCCUCCUAGGCCAGGCAGGGAGGCAUCCUUCCCCCGGGGCGUCACGCCUGCCCAGGGAUAAGCUGGCACCGGGACCGAGUGAGAUGCUAUCGCCUCUUGUAUCUCAGAGGUGGCUGGGGUGAGAAGGGCCCUGGAGCAGGUGAAAGGGUGUCAGCUGAGGUCUGGGCACCUGCCAUCUGGCUGCGUGGGCAGAGGGGGCGCUUGGUGGCCAGGGAUAAUGAUCCCCUGCUCCGGCAUGUGUGUCUUUACAAGGCGGGUCGGCGCCAGCAUCUACCCUCCACCCGGCAUUUCGUGUGCCCGGCUUCAGGGUGCCAGCUUCGGACCCACCAAUUACGGCUGGAAGGGGGUACUCACAAGCAGCCCGAUCACUAUCAUUACAGCAAGGGCAUUUCCCCAGCCCGGGGAAAGGAAUGACAACUAUGAAGAGUUCAAAGAAACAUGAGAAGACUUGUCUGAUGUGAUUCAGUGCCCAGUGCUAUAUAUUCAAUGCCCAGAGUAAUGUAAAGGGACUCAAUAUGGAGAGGCAAUAACAUUGUGGCCAGUUACAACAGCAUGGGUUACUAACACUGUUAGUUCGACAUUAUAAAAAAUUAAAGGACAAAUCCAUCCCUUCUGUUGACAGUCAAUAAACUGUUUUCAUGGCA